rnacentral:pre_miRNA from 1 species
GUGAGCAGGAGGCCAGGGCAGGGCAUGGGGAGCUGCGGGGCCAUUGGAGGGGCCCCAGCAUCUGAGCCCUGUCCUCUUGCAG